rnacentral:tRNA from 1 species
GCCUUCGUGGUGUAAUGGUCAGCACGCUUGACGUGUAACCGAGAGGUCCGUGGUUCGAUUCCCGACGAAGGGG